GAUGAACGCUGGCGGCGUGCCUAAUACAUGCAAGUCGAGCGAACGGACGAGAAGCUUGCUUCUCUGAUGUUAGCGGCGGACGGGUGAGUAACACGUGGAUAACCUACCUAUAAGACUGGGAUAACUUCGGGAAACCGGAGCUAAUACCGGAUAAUAUUUUGAACCGCAUGGUUCAAAAGUGAAAGACGGUCUUGCUGUCACUUAUAGAUGGAUCCGCGCUGCAUUAGCUAGUUGGUAAGGUAACGGCUUACCAAGGCAACGAUGCAUAGCCGACCUGAGAGGGUGAUCGGCCACACUGGAACUGAGACACGGUCCAGACUCCUACGGGAGGCAGCAGUAGGGAAUCUUCCGCAAUGGGCGAAAGCCUGACGGAGCAACGCCGCGUGAGUGAUGAAGGUCUUCGGAUCGUAAAACUCUGCUAUUAGGGAAGAACAUAUGUGUAAGUAACUGUGCACAUCUUGACGGUACCUAAUCAGAAAGCCACGGCUAACUACGUGCCAGCAGCCGCGGUAAUACGUAGGUGGCAAGCGUUAUCCGGAAUUAUUGGGCGUAAAGCGCGCGUAGGCGGUUUUUUAAGUCUGAUGUGAAAGCCCACGGCUCAACCGUGGAGGGUCAUUGGAAACUGGAAAACUUGAGUGCAGAAGAGGAAAGUGGAAUUCCAUGUGUAGCGGUGAAAUGCGCAGAGAUAUGGAGGAACACCAGUGGCGAAGGCGACUUUCUGGUCUGUAACUGACGCUGAUGUGCGAAAGCGUGGGGAUCAAACAGGAUUAGAUACCCUGGUAGUCCACGCCGUAAACGAUGAGUGCUAAGUGUUAGGGGGUUUCCGCCCCUUAGUGCUGCAGCUAACGCAUUAAGCACUCCGCCUGGGGAGUACGACCGCAAGGUUGAAACUCAAAGGAAUUGACGGGGACCCGCACAAGCGGUGGAGCAUGUGGUUUAAUUCGAAGCAACGCGAAGAACCUUACCAAAUCUUGACAUCCUUUGACAACUCUAGAGAUAGAGCUUUCCCCUUCGGGGGACAAAGUGACAGGUGGUGCAUGGUUGUCGUCAGCUCGUGUCGUGAGAUGUUGGGUUAAGUCCCGCAACGAGCGCAACCCUUGUCUUAUGUUGCCAGCAUUUGGUUGGGGACUCAUGAGAGACUGCCGGGGUCAACUCGGAGGAAGGUGGGGAUGACGUCAAAUCAUCAUGCCCCUUAUGUCCAGGGCUUCACACAUGCUACAAUGGUCGGUACAACGCGCAGCGACACUGUGAGGUGGAGCGAAUCGCUGAAAGCCGGCCUUAGUUCGGAUUGGGGUCUGCAACUCGACCCCAUGAAGUCGGAGUCGCUAGUAAUCGCAGAUCAGCAACGCUGCGGUGAAUACGUUCCCGGGCCU
rnacentral:rRNA from 1 species